CUAUCCUGAAUAAAGCCGUUUGGGACGUCGUGUGCAAGUGGCCAGAUGUCUUCACUUCUCUUGAGUGAACCGUUGGAGUGGAGUCGAUGGGUUGCACCGAAUCUACAGGCCAGCAUGUAAAGCGCUGGCACCUGAAAAUUCUGUCUUCCAACCCAACAAGGUUCCCGGCCUCACAUUUCCUCGAAUUCCUGGAAUUUCCUGAGCCGUAAGAGCAAGGGGAGAAUCUUUCUUUUGUCAUAAUAGUUGGUCUCUUGUCCUCAAUCCCUGAAGUCACUUCAGGGCCAUGAAGGUGAAGUGUCUGUCUUGUUAUUCACAACAACCCCCUCAAACACCGCUAAGCUUUUGUUAAUGUGGCAACUCCUUUUGGAAAUCUCCUAAAGGGGUGGGGCUCGCUGGGACCAGAGCAAUGAACUAAGAAAUACAGGGCUGGAACUUUCAGCCCCACCCCCUCAUUUCCAGGGACCGGUGAGGGACUGGAAGUUGAAGCAAUCACCGAUGAUCAAUGAUUGAUUCAAUCAUGCCUAAGUAAUGAAGCCUUUAUAAAACCCCCCAACGAGAGGGUCCAGAGAGCUUCAGGUUUUCCUGAACCAGAAUGCUUUCACCUGCCACCGGGCCAGGCCCCGAACUCCAUGAAGACAGAAGCUUCUUUGCUGGGGACGUCGCCCUACGUAGCUCCUGAUCUGGCUGUUGAUUCAUAGCUUGACUGUCUUUUGUAACAAACUGGCAAUCUAGCGAGAAAACCGGUCCCCGGAGUCGUGUGAACUGCUCUAGAAAAUUAAUCCAAACCCAAGGAGGGGGUCAUGGAAACCUCUGAUUUAUAGCCACUUGGGCAAUAUCACAAAGUAACAAUCUGGACUUGUAACUGGCAUCUGAAGUGGAGAACUGUCUUGUGGGACUGCGCUCUUAACCGAUGGGAUGUGACCCUAUCUCCCCGGAGAUGUGUCAGGACUGAGUUGAAUUGGAGGACACCCAGCUGGUGUCAGAGAAUGACUUGGUGAUGCGGAAGAAAAUUCCCCGCACGUUAUAAUUGGUGCCAGAAUUAUAUACCAUUUUGGAAAAUCGUGUUGCUGGUGGCAAUGUUAUUCAUGGUACUUGAAUCAGUCUGUAUUUGCAGCUGCCACAUUCAUGGUGACUAUAUAUAGAUAAAUGGAUAAAGAUACAUAGAUAAGUUUCUGAAGCAUUUGUUUCAAAUUAUCAAACAUAAAAAAUGUUAAGAACUUUCAGAU